AUUGAACGCUGGCGGCAGGCUUAACACAUGCAAGUCGAGCGGAGUGAUGGUGCUUGCACUAUCACUUAGCGGCGGACGGGUGAGUAAUGCUUAGGAAUCUGCCUAUUAGUGGGGGACAACAUCUCGAAAGGGAUGCUAAUACCGCAUACGUCCUACGGGAGAAAGCAGGGGAUCACUUGUGACCUUGCGCUAAUAGAUGAGCCUAAGUCGGAUUAGCUAGUUGGUGGGGUAAAGGCCUACCAAGGCGACGAUCUGUAGCGGGUCUGAGAGGAUGAUCCGCCACACUGGGACUGAGACCCGGCCCAGACUCCUACGGGAGGCAGCAGGGAGGAAUAUUGGACAAUGGGGGGAACCCUGAUCCAGCCAUGCCGCGUGUGUGAAGAAGGCCUUAUGGUUGUAAAGCACUUUAAGCGAGGAGGAGGCUCUUUUGGUUAAUACCCAAGAUGAGUGGACGUUACUCGCAGAAUAAGCACCGGCUAACUCUGUGCCAGCAGCCGCGGUAA
rnacentral:rRNA from 1 species